GAUGAACGCUGGCGGCGUGCUUAACACAUGCAAGUCGAACGGUGAAGGCGGAGCUUGCUCUGCUGGAUCAGUGGCGAACGGGUGAGUAACACGUGAGCAAUCUGCCCCUGACUCUGGGAUAAGCGCUGGAAACGGCGUCUAAUACUGGAUACGAGCUGCGCAGGCAUCUUCAGCAGCUGGAAAGAACUUCGGUCAGGGAUGAGCUCGCGGUCUAUUAGCUUGUUGGUGAGGUAACGGCUCACCCAGGCGACGACGGGUAGCCGGCCUGAGAGGGUGACCGGCCGCACUGGAACUGAGACACGGUCCAGACUCCUACGGGAGGCAGCAGUAGGGAAUCUUCCGCAAGGGGCGAAAGCCUGACGGAGCAACGCCGCGUGAGUGAUGAAGGUCUUCGGAUCGUAAAGCUCUGUUAUUAGGGAAGAACAUAUGUGUAAGUAACUGUGCACAUCUUGACGGUACCUACUCAGAAAGCAACGGCUAACUACGUG
rnacentral:rRNA from 1 species